GUCUAUGGCCAUACUACCCUGAACCCGCCCGAUCUCGUCCGAUCUCGGAAGCUAAGCAGGAUCAGGCCUAGUUAGUACUUGGGUGGGGAAAAGCAGGUUAUGGAUA